AUCUAGAGGAAAGUUUAGAGGAU
rnacentral:snRNA from 1 species